AGCUCCAAUAGCGUAUAUUUAAGUUGUUGCAGUUAAAAAGCUCGUAGUUGGAUCUUGGGUCGGGGGGAGCGGUCCGCCCCUUGUGGGUGUGCACUGGUCCACCCGGCCUUUCUGCCGGGGACGCGCUCCUGGCCUUCGCUGGUCGGGACGCGGAGUCGGCGAUGUUACUUUGAAAAAAUUAGAGUGCUCAAAGCAAGCCUAUGCUCUGAAUACAUUAGCAUGGAAUAACGUGAUAGGACUCUGGUCCUGUUGUGUUGGUCUUCGGGACCGGAGUAAUGAUUAAUAGGGACAGUUGGGGGCAUUCGUAUUUCAUUGUCAGAGGUGAAAUUCUUGGAUUUAUGAAAGACGAACUUCUGCGAAAGCAUUUGCCAAGGAUGUUUUCAUUA
rnacentral:rRNA from 1 species